UACGUAGGGGGCGAGCGUUGUCCGGAGUUACUGGGCGUAAAGGGCGUGCAGGCGGUGCGGUAAGUUUAGAGUGACAGUAUCCGGCUUAACUGGAUAAGGCCUCUGAAAACUGCCGGACUUGAGGGCCAGAGAGGGACAUAGAAUUCCGGGUGGAGUGGUGAAACGCGUAGAUAUCCGGAGGAAUACCAAAGGCGAAGGCAGUGUCCUGGCUGGCAACUGACGCUGAGGCGCGAAAGCUAGGGGAGCGAACAGG
rnacentral:rRNA from 1 species